rnacentral:lncRNA from 1 species
GCAUCCUUUCACAAGGAAUGAUUAUGAUUUUAAUAAAGCACUUAGGAUUCUGCAGAUGCAAAUGGAAGAAUGUUUCUACUUGAUUGAUAAAGCAUGCAUACACUUUCAGAAUAACGUCCUACCAGUCACGGUGAUAUCCUAACUUUGUGUGUGGGCAGCCUCUGGGGUGCAGCAAGAUGCCCUGGAAUUAGGAGGCAUAGCUGUUUCUGCUAAACUCGCCUUGCACAGAGCUGUCUGCAGGUGGGCCGUCAACAAAAGCUGCCAGUCUUAGCAUCCAGAGAUGUGGCUGUGAUCAGUCAUCAUGUUAUUAAAUUAUUCCUCUCAUCUGAAGGGACCACAAUUUCAACAUAGGCUUCUCUUGAUAGAUGUACAAUUCAUAUAGACUAUUGGAACUAUAUUCGGGGCAUGCUGUGAUUUCAUUUGCCGUGCCACUUAUAGUGGAAAAAAAUAUGCCACACUUUUUUUCUAACCAAACAGGCUUCUUUUCACAGUAGACAGAGAAUACCGUUAAACAGAGGAAACACAGUAUCCCUUUUCAUAGCAAGAGAUCAAAUGUCUGCAGAAGAGUUUAAUUUAUACUUCUCCGUGCGCCAGAGCCCAGUCUGAGACAUAGCAGCGUUUCAGUGCUUUCAAUCAGGUCAUAGUUUCCAUCCUGGAUGACUUCAUCCCUUUUAAAAUAGAAUAAAUGGAAUUCCACAUUAUACUAUGGGUAGGGAUUAUAGGAAAUUAAAAGACGUAUAGUGCCCAACACACUAAAUAAUUGUGACAUUGAGCUGGGAACAUAACACUUAGGCAGCAAGUUCUUCUUGGGUGUUAUUUGUUGAAGAAAUGUUGCUCCAGCUUUCCUGAAGAGCGGAAGAGAAGUAUAGCCAUGUGGGUUAGAAAGUAAAAUCUAUGCUGUGCUUGCUCUAAGUCUUCCCUUUUCAAAAUCCAUAUAAGCAUUAGUUUAGAUCAGAGGUGUGACUUGAUUUCAUCGUCCACCAGCCCCCCUGUCAGACACUCUCUGGAUUUAGUUCUCUGGUUUCCAUGUGUCGGCAAUGUGGAUUGUAGUUCAGCAGCUUGCUUGGGUUGCAUGCAGUUAGAGAUGGUGGGAGGAAUCCAAUUCAGCCCAAAGAAGGUGCUGAAGUUAAAAUAUGAGAGCAUGGUCUAUGAACACCCUAAAAUGAAUCAUCCUACAGGAGAUGAAUUGUUGGAAAAACCCGAGAUCUUUUAUUGGUCGGCAUAGAAGUUGCCUAGGAGAAGAAAGCUGGGAUGGUCAAAAGUGAGAAGGCAGUUGUUGAUUCUCCUUUGGAAGAUCUUUUCUUUGCAAUGUACUUUGGGGCCCAUUUUUGACUGUAUUUUGCAUAGUUUUUUAAGUGAAACAAUUUGAUGGCUUUCCAGAACAAAUGAAUACCCUCUAGACCUGCCUGCAAUGGGUAUAUUACACAUGAGCUUUCUGUUGACGAGCAAUGAAAUGACAAUAUUUCCAUUCUGCUGCACUCUCUUUACCAUUGCGUUGGCGGUAUUAAAUGGUUGCGGUGUUGAGGUUUUGUGCACAUUUUACUAGGAGCCCAAUGAGCAGGCUUUCCCUUUGGGACAAUUACAGCUUGAAAACUGGGGAUUCUGAGCGAGGGAGUAUCAAUCCCUGGCAGCUGAGCCAGCAGAAUUGAAUCACAUAAUCUAUUUGUAAUCUAUCCCUAGGAAUUCAUGUUUGCUUUGAAUCUGCCUACUGGACAGGCCACAAGGAGAUAGAAAUGACUUAACAGUGGUUUCUAGUGCCUAGAGCUGAGGGUGUGCUCUGUUUCUGUUCACACAUAAUCAACAAACAAAGAGGGAGGGGGCAGCCCCUCAGAAGCUCUCUCUGGAGAUGUACAGGUGGGAGUUUUUAAAUCUUGACACACCGAUAAGAUUUCAGCAUGGCUUCAAAGCGUGUUCCAAAAAAAUGACUUAACGCCAGGCUUGCUUUGAAAAUUCUAAUCUGUUGCUACAACAGUGCAAACCAAGUUCUCCUUUGUGCGCUUGAGUAAACACAUUCCUCAUCACCAUCAAAGAUUGUGGCCAGAAGAGGGAAGGACCGGCCUUUGUGAUUCAAGGGUCCUCCACAAGUAUUCUGUGCAUAUUUGUGGGAACAGUCAUAUCUUUCAAAGAACAACCCAAACCAAAUACUUCUGGUAAUCUCUGGGCUUUUAAUGUGUGACUAAGCAGGGUAAUGGGUUCAGCCAUUGUUAUUCAGAGCCUUUCUGUGACAGUAGGACUGGAUCAAUAGCCACACUGGCUCUUCUGGGCCACCUGCUUAUAGAAGGAGUUCAGAAUAUUGGAGAAAUAAGCAUUACACCAACAGAUAGGGAAACUGAAGCAAUGAAAAGCUCUUGACCUGGUCAAAGUCAAUAGGACUGGUCAAUAGGGGAGCGGAGAGCAGAGAACUUGCAUUGCCGAGCUCUCUGCUAUGACAUUAUUGACAGAAUCUGAUGCCUUUGAGUUGGUGAAAACGGUGAUCAGGGCGAGUCUUGAGGCCACAGAGUCUGAUGUGCUUCACUGCAGAGAAACAGUCUCUCCAUUUACCCAAAUUACAGCCAGUCCUACUCUCUGUGAAAGUUUGAAACAGGAAAAAAUGAGCCCCAGUCUGGUUAGUCACUUUGACAUUAUUCUUAAACAUGGGAAGCAAAUUUAAAAUGGCUGGGUGACAGAAAUGGUGUUGGAAAAACAGAAGCAAUAGAAUGUGUGUGGGGGGGUAGGGAGAGAGACAGAGAUAGAGAGAAGAGAGAGAGACAGAGAGAGAGAGAGACAGAUUUAAGAAACUAUUUCCUGUGAUCACAGAGGCUGUUAAGUCCAAAGUUAGCAGUGUGGGCCAGCUUGCUGGAGACCCAGGGAGGAGGUGAUGCUGCAAGGUGAGCCCAAAGGUAGUCUGCUGUCAGAAUUCCCUCUUUGGGGAAGGUCUGUCUUUUUCUUGUAAGGCCUUAACUGGUUGGAUAAGGCCAUUCCCAUUAUGGAAGGCAAUCUGCUUUACUCAAAAUCUACUGAGUUAUUUCUUUUUUUUUUUUUGUCUUUUGUCUUUUGUUGUUGUUGUUGUUGUUGUUGCUAUUUCUUGGGCCACUCCCGCGGCAUAUGGAGGUUCCCAGGCUAGGGGUUGAAUCGGAGCUGUAGCCACCGGCCUACGCCAGAGCCACAGCAACGUGGGAUCCGAGCCGUGUCUGCAACCUACACCACAGCUCACGGCAACGCCAGAUCGUUAACCCACUGAGCAAGGGCAGGGAUCGAACCCACAACCUCAUGGUUCCUAGUCGGAUUCGUUAACCACUGCGCCAUGACGGGAACUCCUAUUUCUUAUUUUUUUAUUUAAAAAGAUUUUAUGGGAGUAUAGUUGACUUACAAUGUUGUGUUAGUUUCAGAUGUACAGUAAAGUGAAUUAGUUACAUAUAUACAUAUUUCCAUUCUUUUUCCCCCAUAGGUUAUUCCAGACUAUUGAGUAGAUUUCCCUGUACUAUACAGUAGGUCCUUGUUAAUUAUCUAUUUUACAUACAAAGGUGUAUGUAUGUUAUUCCCAUCCCCCUAAAAAUCUACUGAUUUAAUUAUUUCAUCUUUUUUUGUUGUUUUUGUUUUGUUUUGCUUUGUUUUUGUUUUUUUACAGCCACACCUAUGGCAUGUGGAAUUUCCUGGGCCAGGGAUCAAAUCAGAGCUGCAGCUGCCGGCCUACAUCACAGCCACAGCAACACCUGAUCCAAGCCACAUCUGCAAGUCUCCGCUGUAACUUGUGGCAAUAUCAGACCUUAACCCACUGAGCAAGGCCAGGGAUCAAACCCACAUCCUCAUGGACACUAUGUUGGGUCUAACCCACUGAGCCUCACGGGAACUCUGUGUUUCUCUCAUCUUGAAAAAUCAUCACAGAAACAUUUAGACUAAUGUUUGGCCACAUAUCUGGGUACCACAGCCCAACCAAGCUAGUAUAAAAUUAACAAUAAUAGACACCAAGUAGGGUACUUACUGAGAUGGGAAACUACCCUGGAGUGCUGGGUGCUGGAGAAAGGGCUGCAGUUAUAGCAUUCAAUCUCAUCACAUAGGACAUGACAAAUAUAUUCUCUGCUGGAAACGAGUACUUUUCCUUUUUUUAAAAUUUUUAUUUAUGGUGAGACAUUUUCUGAAAGUCAUUUAGAAUAAAUUUCAUCCUCAAAAGAAAAUAGUAUCCUGGGAAGAAGGAAUGCUGGAAAGUCAUCACCAGAGAAUGAUGACACUCUCUUGUAUAGCAUGCAAAUAUGUGUAUAAAGCAUUGGCUCAACUUUGAAGUAAGUCACAACCAAAUGAAACUAGAGCAGUGAGAAAGUAAAUAUGCAGACAUAUAUACAAAUCCAUAAUUGAGCUCUUGUUAUAUAAUGUGACACAUUAUCAAGUUUGGGUUAAUCACUCAUUUUGAUAAGGUUGGUAAAGUUGUAAACACUUUUUUAGUGGAAUAGGUAGAAAGAGGAACUUUGGAGAUCAUUGUUUUAACAAACCUCACAGGUAGAGAAGUGAGAGUAUCAUUAAGUAUAUGUUAUCUCUAUAUCACCUUUCAAUCAAAAGGUAUGUAUGCCACAGCCUAUCUUGUUCUGUAUGGGUAUGUAUGCUAACACAGAUGUGUGCUUUUCUCUUUCUCUCUUACAUAUACAUGUCUGUCUGUCUGUCUAUCUAUCUAUCUAUCUAUCUAUCUAUCUUCUAUCUACAAAUGCAUGAGAAUAUGAAUUUGAUUUCUAUUGUGAUAAUACUAAUCAAUGAUUUUUUUUAAAUUUUUUAUUACUCAAAUGAAUUUAUCACAUCUGUAGUUGUAUAAUGAUCAUAACAAUCUGAUUUCACAGGAUUUCCAUCCCACAGCCCAGGCACAUCCCCCCACCCCCAAACUGUCUCCUCUGGAGACCAUAAGUUUUUCAAUGUCUGUGAGUCAGCAUCUGUUCUGCAAAGAAGUUCAGUCUGUCCUUUUUUCAGAUUCCACACGUCAGUGAAAGCAUUGGAUGUUGUGUCUCAUUGUAUGGAUGACUUCACUUACUAAUCAAUGAUUUUUGAGUACCUACUAUGUGCUAGGCCCUGUGUUAAUCUCCAGGAAUAUAAUAAAGAACAUAAUGAUCAUGAUUUAUCUUAUGUGCAAAUUGGAGCGUAUAUUCUGCUGAAGGAGAAAGACACAAACAGUAAACAAGAUUAAGUAAAAUAGUUAUAGUUAGCAUUUGAAUGUUAUGAAAUUAAGGAAAAUAUGUUUAAGAUAGGAAAUAAGGAGACCUACUUAAUUUUAAAAAUGUAUUUAGUUAUAUAUUUUUUAAAUGUAUUUAUAUAUUUUAAAAAUUGAAAUAUAAUUGAUUUGCAGUGUUUCAGGUGCAUAGAAGAGUGAUUCAGUUACACAUACAUAUAUAUAGUAUAUAUCCUUUUUCAUAUUCUUUUCAAUAUCUUUCAGAAGAUAUUGAAUAUAGUUUCCUAUGCUAUACAGUAAGUCCUCGUUGUUUAUCUAUUUUAAACUAUUAUGAGUAUUAAUCCCAAAGUUCUAAUUUAUCUCCCCCUCAACCCUCAAUCCCUGCUAUACACUCUGGUAACCAUACGUUUGUCUUCUCUGUUUGUGAGUCUAUUUCUGUUUUGUAAAUAGGGUCAUUUGUACCAUUUUUUUUUUAGAUUCCACAUGUAAGUGAUAUAAUGAAGAUAUGGUACACAUACACAAUGGAAUAUUACUCAGCCAUGAGUAAUUGCCAUUUGCAGCAAGGUGGAUGGACCUAGAGGUUAUCAUACUAAGAGAAGU